rnacentral:miRNA from 1 species
UACCUCGCCGGCGGGAAGGAGACCCUUCCAGCCGUCGAGGUACUUGUACCUCGACGGCUGGAAGGGUCUCCUUCCAGUCGACGAGGUA